AUGUGGCUUUUUGUUUAAUUCGAGAUUUUAGAGAGAUGUUAACCACAUCCUGAAGUGGCUUCACAAUGUCGGGGAGCAGAGGAGGCAGGAGUCAUAGAGACCUAUAAAACCUGCUGCUGCUGGAAAUGUUCUCACGUCUUCUCCAGUCUUAGCAGGGCACCUGGUUUACGGGGAAACAUGCCUCUAUUGUGUUAAGCAGGACUGCAGGGGGUGAGGAUGGAGCUGGCGGCCACACGACCCGCACCCCAGGGCUGCCCGCGGCCGGGGCCGUCCGAGCGGGACGGCGGAGACCCCCUGGGCAUGGGGGCUGAGACCGGGCCUCCAGGGUCUCCAAAGGGGGAAUCUCGCCAGAGCUGACAGGGUGGCUAAAGGGAAAGCGGGACGGCAGGUGAGGUCCCGCUCGCCUCCCGGCCAGCACCUCCGUGCCCCGCUAAAUCACCCUACCCCGCCCUCAACUUAAUGACACAAAUCCGGGCUCUUAAAGUCUUUGCGACUGAUCGUACUUGCUCAUUUAUAAAUAAUGAUCUCCAUAUAGAUGCAUAACAACAACAUACCAGAAGUGUUUGGGGAGAAAUCCGAUUAAAGUCUAUAGCUUUUUUUCCCCCCUCUCUCCCGGAGCAAAAGUCUUUCUACAGGUCAGCUGCCGCAGCCGGCCCAGACUGCGGGGUUAAAGGGAAGAAAAGGCUCCAGGCGGGCCACUUCCCUCCCGGGCGACAGGAGGGGGCUGCCACCGCACGGCGGGCCCUGCCGGGGGGCGGCCCAGCGGCCCCCUCCGCCCACCCGGCCUGGGGGGAGGCUCGGCCGGGUAUUUUGGGGGGAGGCAGCCGCCGCACUGGCUGGAGCGUGAACUCUGCGGCCGAGACCGAUUUCCCCCCGGCGCCAGCAUCCCCGGGCAGAGUCGUGGGGCCGCCCCGCUCCGCCUGGACCGGCCCGGCCUCGGGUGGCGGUGACGCAGAAACGUGCUUUCCUUUCCUCUUUCGGGCGAUUUAGGGGACUAGAAAAACAAACAUCGGGCCGUUUCAUGAAACGGUGGAGAAAACUCCGAAGGGAAAGAGAGCGGGGCACAUCCUUUUAGAGGAAGGACAAGGGUUCUCUAAGGAGGGAAAACAAAAGAUGACAGUGGUGGCUGUAACCCCACCAUGAACCAAGGACCUCCUGGCCACGCUCGGAGAGCUAACCUCUCCGGACUUCCCAUUACCUCUCCAUGACACUUCACUAAUGCUCACACAAUGGCCAACUGAGCAGUUUAAGUAAAGAUAUUUUAACCUGAACUAAACAUUGUCUCCAGACAAUAGGAUGCAAAGCAACAUCUGGUACCACAGAUAAACAAUGCUGUGCAACAGCAUAUGCUCGACGUCUGGAAGUUUAUGUCAACGCUAAGCAGUUGAGGAGGCUGUCGCUGCUCGGCAUGAAAUCAUAAUAAAUGGCUGUUUGCUGUACUUCCUAGAUGAGCAUCUAGGAUCUCUCCUCUCAGGGCAUCCUCUUCAGGUUAAGAUUGCUCAGCAAGACAUCUUCGGACCCCAUCCGCGCCUCUUCCCUCCCGCCCUCGGAGCAAACCACUAGUGAGAAAUACCACGGGGAGAGCCCGUGGACCGGCCUAGAGAAAACACCGGGUUACCACUUCCCCACUGUGGCUCCGGCGGGCACUGCUCGGCCGCCGGCGCCGGUGGAAGCGACCGAUGAUGAAUGGCCAACUUCAGGGAAGCGCUUCUUUAAAGAGGAGGCUCUAGGCUAAUGAAACAACGGGAGGUGACUAUUGCAAACAGCUGUUCCUCAUACAUAUUUCAUUAUACAAUCAGAUAAUGCGUCUUACCACCUUCUCAAUUAUUCACAGAUAAACAUUUUCAAGACGUUUUGACAUCUGUCUUAGGGCCUGCUAUUAAUUUAGUAAUCACUAUGGUUAAAAAUGCAUGGGGACUGCACCUCACAAAAACUCGGAUUUCACUUACGAGAACAACUACCGUAAGAGCCCUCACCCCAAGAUGGGGGGACCACACGAUCUUCGCCCUGAAGCCCUCGGGCUGCCGCUCCGGGGGGGCUGCGCUGGCCCCGCCGACCGUUCCUGUGUGCCCGGGGCUGUGCAGCGCCGGGCCCCUCCCGGCGCCCUCCGGAGCUCCCGGGGAAAAGCGAUGGGCGGAGGAGGCCGAGCGGGGAAAGAAGCGACACUUUUCCUCCCUAGCAAGCCAGGCAAACACCCAGAAAAGUCGUGCCUGUCUCUUCCGUUGGGCUCUUGGCACAGGCGCUCCCGCUUCUGUCCGCAGGCAAAGGGCGCUCACCUCGGGCUGCCCCGUAAAAGGACACUUGCCUGCCCGGCCGAGUGAUUCGCCAGUCCUCCACCCAGUGUCCCGGCCGGCCGCCCGGCGUGGCGGGGCCAGCCCGGCCGGGGACAGCGGGGGGACGGUGGCAGCUCCCGUGGUUUCCCUCCCCGCGGAACAAAGCCCGCGGGUUCCCCGGCUGGGCAGCGAGACGUGCUCGUCCUUCCUGAGCGCCGGGAAACUUCUCACAGCAAGUUUGUUUCACUGCGGCCGGCUGGUUGUAAAACCGCAAGGCUUUAGGAAGGCGCAGCGUCUCUUUUGUGUCUCUUUCUUUGCAACAAUCCGUUUUCUUAAAACAAAUCUCAAGCCACCCCCGAAACGCACUUGCACACGCACAGCUACUAGAUGUUACACAUGAACAUUAAAGAGCGAGUUAAACGAGCAAAGAGGAGAAUCAAAUCUCGACAACCCUUUCAGACACUUUAUUGAUUAAAUUAAGCCUCUCAACUCCUCUUUCCUUCCUCCACUUCCCCAGGUUACCUCUUUUUACCAAAAAAUUCACACACAAUCGGCGAUCUUCACGACCUCCUCCACCCCCAUGCCCAGGUAAGUGGAUGAAAACGCUUGCGUACUUUCCCGUCCUGCUGCAUAAGCUCUUGACUACAACUAGUUUCUAGAGCUGCGGUCUGGCCAGUGAUAAGGGGAUUCUGCUUUGCACAAGGCACAGGACCGACGCUUGAGCCAGCAAAACGAGGGAGAAGUGGUAUUUUCAGCCUAUGUCCCUCUCCUCUGCCCGUCCCGCGGGGGCUUGGCCACCCCCGCACCUACUUAUGCCACCCCCGCCCUCCCCUGUGCAAUGACCGCCGCUGCCCUUCGGAGCUCGCACACGGGGGGUCUGCCAGCUACCAAAGCGCUGGCCGUCUCUGCUUGACGCAUCCCGGCAGGUACCCAGCCGCGGAUGGGUGUGCUCUGAAGCCUCAAGGAGAGUCCCAGCCGUGAAUUUCAUUUUAAUCGCACGGCCAAGAAAAGUGCCGACACCAGGGACCGCCGAGUGUGUAAAAGCCUUUCUGCCUCGCAGGUGGCGGAAGGCAGAGGAGGGUUUGGGGAGAGGCAGAAGAGGGGAUGCUCUGUGAAAUGGAAACGAUAAUUCUUAGUGCUCCUUCCAAGUAUUUCCCACAGCUGAAGACCUUGUCUUCCCUUGAAUGCUCUGUAAAUAGCAAAAGGGUUAGUGGUGAGCUCCGAGUCUCUGGUUCGGGUCUACCUGGAACCCAUGAUUUUAAAAUUCAGAAAUAGAGGAAAUCGAGCUGUGAAUGUGCUGAGGGAAGAACCCUUCCAUCUCAGCAGCAUUCAUCAUAUUUUAAAGUGAAGUGUCAAAAGCCCGCUGGAAUCUUUCUGCCAGCGGCUCUUGAAUUGGUCCUGCGCUCGCUCAGAGCCGGUCUGUGCCUACCUGGCUCAUAACUUCAGCUGUCUGAAGUCCUUCUAUAGUUUCAACGCUGUACGAGCAACUGUGGCCCCGCAGAGCCGUCCUGCUUCCCGUUCCCACCCCAGCCUCAAGACGUCCUUCGCCCUAUUGAUGUGUGCUACAGCCAAACAGGGCAAAAAGACGAGAAUUGUAUUCGACAGAUGCUGCUCACUCGUGAAUAACAGGGGAUGCAGAGCUAUGACCUCUCCAUCUGACCUUCAGGAACCGCAGGCUGCAAAACAGGGCAAAUGAAGAAAGAAAAAAAAGAAAACAAGGAAAAGCACAGGAUUACAAUGGAGAUUCGUGCGUAGUGGAGCUGGGCUGGGCUGCCUUUGUUCCGAAAUCCUGAUAAGACUUGAACUUUUAGGACGGCACCGGCUCUGCGGCCCAGGGGAGGAGAGGCUCUGUCCGAAUUCUCUGUGUCUCUGCUGAGAUCACAGUGUUGUUUCGUUCACUUCUGCACCUCUGCAAAAGUUGUUGUCAGGGUUUGGGUGGGGUUGGGGUUUGUGGGGUUUUUUCACAUUAAAAAAAAUUGCGGGAAAACAAGACAAAACAGCGCCGUUGACUAAGCAGCAGGUCUCAGUGAGAGCUGAGGGAGCGGAGAGCUCAGCCGAGUGCAGACCCACAGCUCGGGAAAUCAUUUCCCACGAGGGGCAGACGGGAGACGGGGAUUUGCUUAUUUUGCUCCUCGUUGCCUUCCCAGCACAAACGAGGGGUGCGCGGAGGGACCGAGGCUUAGGGAGUCUUCCCAGUCCCCUCCCUAGCAAGGAGAAGGAUGGGGGAAAUUGGGCGCUCUCGGGCGCUGCCCGGGGGUUUCUGGGGCCCCUGGCAAGGCGAGUGUCGGACCCCGUGACAUUCCGAACUCCCGGGAAUCGUCCCCCGUCCGCACCCUUCCCCAGUGGGCGGGGAGGGGGAGGAUGCUCCAUGAAGUCCCAGAGCAGAAAUCAAUGUUAUAAAGCGCAUCCCCUCAGAGGAAACUGAAAAAGAGGGGGGGGGGAGGGGGGGAAGAAGAGAACAAUAA